rnacentral:misc_RNA from 1 species
AAGUUGUAACAAGGUUUCCGUAGGUGAACCUGCGGAAGGAUCAUUAACAAAUCCAUAUUUUAUGCCGCAAGGCGUAGAUAUAAAUUCACUUGGCUGGCGCAAGCUGCCAAGUUGAAAGAUAUUAUUGUGUGUAGUGUAGACAAGUGUGUGUAAAAACAAAAAUAAUUGACAACUUUUAACAAUGGAUCUCUAGGCUCUU